UACGGGGGGUGCAAGCGUUAUCCGGAUUCACUGGGUUUAAAGGGUGCGUAGGUGGGCAGGUAAGUCAGUGGUGAAAUCUCCGGGCUUAACCCGGAAACUGCCAUUGAUACUAUCAGUCUUGAAUACCGUGGAGGUAAGCGGAAUAUGUCAUGUAGCGGUGAAAUGCUUAGAUAUGACAUAGAACACCAAUUGCGAAGGCAGCUUACUGGCCGAAUAUUGACACUGAGGCACGAAAGCGUGGGGAUCAAACAGG
rnacentral:rRNA from 1 species